GGAAUUUCUUGUUUCCACUGACCUGUGAGGCCGCGCACGCGGAGGGAGGCACCCCAGGCCCUCCGGCACUGUCCAGCCUCGCCUGUGUUCCCAGUAGCACCAGUGGGCAUUUUCAGAGGGUCCAGCUCGUGGCUCAAGUGACAGGAAGAUGUAGGAGCUUUCUGUCUUGAGUGAGGAUUCGAACCAAAGGGCUUAGGCCCAGCUGUCUUGGAGCAAAGCAGCUGUUGUGGGAUGCUGAGCUGCUGGCGCACUGCAGCACAACUAGAGAUGUACGGAUGCCCCCAUCUUGAUCUUACAGAAUCAGAGGUACAGCCGCGAGAAAGAGUCAAGAACAGACAGAGUCGCUUGAGGACUCAGAAGGGUGUUUGCUGCGUUGACAACAGACUACACCCUCACAGUUUGCUCUGCUCUUCCAACACCAGUGGAA
rnacentral:lncRNA from 1 species